UACGUAGGGUGCAAGCGUUGUCCGGAAUUAUUGGGCGUAAAGAGCUCGUAGGCGGUUUGUCGCGUCUGCUGUGAAAACCCGAGGCUCAACCUCGGGCCUGCAGUGGGUACGGGCAGACUAGAGUGCGGUAGGGGAGAUUGGAAUUCCUGGUGUAGCGGUGGAAUGCGCAGAUAUCAGGAGGAACACCAAUGGCGAAGGCAGAUCUUUGGGCCGUAACUGACGCUGAGGAGCGAAAGCGUGGGGAGCGAACAGG
rnacentral:rRNA from 1 species